UUCCGGUUGAUCCUGCCGGACCCCACUGCUAUCGGGGUGGGACUAAGACAUGCUAGUCGUGCGCCUCCAAGCCACGGUGGAGGCGCGGCGCACAGCUCAGUAACACGUGGCUAACCUACCCUUGGGACGAGGACAACCCCGGGAAACUGGGUCUAAUCCCCGAUAGGUGAGGACUCCUGGAAUGGGUCCUUGCCGAAAGGGCGCCUAGACCAUGCUUCUAGGUGCUGCCCGAGGAUGGGGCCGCGGCCGAUCAGGUAGUUGGUGAGGUAACGGCUCACCAAGCCUAUAACCGGUACGGGCCGUGGGAGCGGGAGCCCGGAGAUGGACACUGAGACAAGGGUCCAGGCCCUACGGGGCGCAGCAGUCGCGAAACCUCCGCAAUACGCGAAAGCGUGACGGGGCCACCCCGAGUGCCGUCCGCUGAGGACGGCUUUUCCCCAGUGUAGCCAGCUGGGGGAAUAAGGGGAGGGCAAGUCGGGUGUCAGCCGCCGCGGUAAAACCAGC
rnacentral:rRNA from 1 species